AGUCACUGACAUUAGAUACCCGGGUAGUCCCAGCCGUAAACUAUGCGCAUUAGGUGUACUGGUGACCACGUGUUACUGAUGCGCCGAAGAGAAAUCGUGAAACGCACCACCUGGGAAGUACGGUCGCAAGGCUGAAACUUAAAGGAAUUGGCGGGGAGCACCACAACAGGUGGAGCCUGCGGUUUAAUUGGAUUCAACGCCGGACAUCUCACCGGAUAAGACAGCUGAAUGAUUGUCAAUCUGAAGGUUUUACAUGACUAGCUG
rnacentral:rRNA from 1 species